rnacentral:tRNA from 1 species
GGGCCACUGGCUCAAUUGUAGAGCUUUUGACUCAAUUCACAAAUUCGUGGGUUUUAAUCCCACGUCGUCAA